UGAGGGAAUAUUGGGUCAAUGGGCGCAGGCCUGAACCAGCCAAGUCGCGUGAGGGAAGACGGUCCUACGGAUUGUAAACCUCUUUUGUCGGGGAGUAACGUGCGGGACGCGUCCCGUAUUGAGAGUACCCGAAGAAAAAGCAUCGGCUAACUCCGUGCCAGCAGCCGCGGUAAUACGGAAGGUCCGGGCGUUAUCCGGAUUUAUUGGGUUUAAAGGGAGCGUAGGCCGGAGAUUAAGCGUGUUGUGAAAUGCCGCGGCUCAACCGUGGCACUGCAGCGCGAACUGGUUUUCUUGAGUGCGCGCGACGCAGGCGGAAUUCGUGGUGUAGCGGUGAAAUGCUUAGAUAUCACGAGGAACCCCGAUUGCGAAGGCAGCUUGCGGGAGCGCAACUGACGCUGAAGCUC
rnacentral:rRNA from 1 species